rnacentral:rRNA from 1 species
CGCCUCUUGAGCAAAUAUAAGAGGUCCAGCCUGCCCAGUGACUCUGUUCAACGGCCGCGGUAUCCUAACCGUGCGAAGGUAGCGUAAUCACUUGUUCUUUAAAUGAGGACUAGUAUGAAUGGCACCACGAAGGUUACACUGUCUCCUCUUUCUAAUCAGUGAAACUAAUCUCCCCGUGAAGAAGCGGGGAUAAACAUAUAAGACGAGAAGACCCUAUGGAGCUUUAAACUAAGUAACACUUGCACUAACUUUGAGUAAAUUUCAGAAAAAUCUCCAUUACCCCUGCAAGAUGAUUAAUAGUUUUAGGUUGGGGUGACCGCGGAGCAAAACAUAACCUCCACAUUGAAAGGAACCCACUCCUUAGCCAAGAGCUACACCUCCACGCAUCAAUAUAGUGACAUUAAUUGACCCAAUAUUUUGAUCAACGAACCAAGUUACCCUAGGGAUAACAGCGCAAUCCACUUCAAGAGCCCCUAUCGACAAGUGGGUUUACGACCUCGAUGUUGGAUCAGGGUAUCCCGGUGGUGCAGCCGCUACCAAAGGUUCGUUUGUUCAACGAUUAAAACCCU